CCAAUAUUCAUAGAUCGUGGGUGACGCCGGUUUCUUCUCUUUUUUUUAUGGGAAUCGAGACGCUGGUUCUUCUAUCCGCUAUCGCCGCACGACCUCAGCUUGCAGCCGCCCCUGCCGCCUCGCCACCGCCCCCGCCGACGCCACAUGGCCUUAGCUCGCAGCUGCUGCCAUCGUACGAUCUCAGGUUUGUCGUCGCCCCUGCUCCUUGGUUCGGCAUCGGCGAGCUCGCCACACCUGGGCGUACCCGUCAUAUUGCCUCGAGCUGGCAGUAGUUCGUCUUCUAAGCUCGCCACACCUGGGCGUACAAGGAGAAUUGCUCGCCCCAACCAUUCCCUAGUAUGUUGCAUCCUGACUCACAUUCGAUGCCUCAAUUUUGGUCCCUUUCACUUUUGGGGAUGAGGAUUAAUGAAUUGAUUGGUAAUCUGACUUUCCCCUGUUGCGUAUAGAUCCAAGACCCUAUAGAAGAUUGUCUGAUUUUGAUUUUUUUUUUUUUUUGCUCAUGGAUCUAGAAUAUAUUUGCACGGAGGUGCAAGCUGAGGUACUUUCAGGUCUUGUGUAUUUUAAGUAUAUAUGCACAUAGCAACUUUCGUAUUUAAUUUCAUUGCCGAGCUUGCAUCAUUUAGGAUGGAGCCGCCCUUCCCCUUAGGUUUCCUUUAACUCCUUAUUCCUAUAUCUCGCUUUAAUGUCUAUUACGGUAGUGUCAAAUUGUUUCACUAUUAGAUUCCCUGAUAUGGCUGUCUAUUAAAUAAUGAUGACCUUUCGUUUUAGUUUUCGUAAGAAACUAGAAGCACAGGCGUGGGCUUUGCCGUGCCCUGCUUGGAGGUUGUAGCCUAGCGAAUCAAAUUUGUUUUGUUUAGUUGGUGUGCUUUAUUAUUUAGCUCAGCAAUGUUGUCUUAUAUAAUGAUAAGUUGACAAAGCAGGAUAACAUGAUUACAGAUGGAUAACUAUGAACAAAGCAAAUUUGUUUUUGAGUUAACUGACAACAUGGAGAGAUAAAUAUAGCUUGUGUAGCAGUGUUGUCUGUACCAGAUGCACAAUUUUUUGAGAAAUUAGUAACAUAUUGGAGCAUAAGUAAUAAGAACUACAUCAAUUAUUCAGUAUAGAAAAGGUUUAUGACAAUCCUUAAUGAAAUUUUAGACAAAAUAUCAUAUGUACUUUCAGACAGAUAAGACUGUAGUAGCAGCCAAAGACAAUCCUCUGAUUUCUGCCGUAAUUUUGUCUAAAGAUCAAACCAAACUUUCAUCAGUUACUUAAGGCUGUUUAAAUAAUAUCUCAUUUAAGUUUUUGCUAUUGAUUAGAAGGUAAGCUACAUUGCAACUAUACAUUCAAUCCGAUCCAUGUCAUCUUCCUUGUACUAAUCAGGUCAACACUAAAUUGGCAACGCCUCCCUAUCGCCAGAGCAUAAAAGCAUUUGACCCCUUCCUGCAUCUUGUUCCCAAAAUUUAUAAAUAUCAAACAUGGAGAACAGACCUGUUUCUCAAAAUGUCUGAAGCUCUCCAAAAUAAAGUCAGGGAAUAUCAAGUCAGGGAAGCUUUAAAUAUGAGUUGCCAAUGAUAUGUUUACAACUUUCAAACGAUGAACUGAAACCAAGGAAAACUCUGUGUCUAAUCAUACCAAGAUAAAUGUGAUGGAAUAUACUCAGUGUAUUGGUUGCAAUGCCUUAGCUACAGCUGUAAUUCUCAACAUGACUUUUGUAGGCUAAAUUACCACAUUAAAGUAAUUUUAUUUAGGCACCCACAAAAGUUCAUAUUGUCACAAGCUAUAUAAGCGUAUAAAGAUCUAUUAUUAUAUUAUAUCCUAAUCUGAUAACCAUUCAGGAACUUCUUCACCUAGAGGAUUUAGCUUUUCACUUUACAUAAGACUUGAGUUGAUUUAAUAAAGUUCAUUGCAAAAUAUAAUUUACAACAAAUUUGUUAGUGUGGAUACAAGCUAGUGUAUAAGGAAUAUAUCAUACCAAUGUUGAUAACCUACUUCUGGGCUCUAAUUUACAGCAUUGAGUAUCACUAAAGUGGUCAAGGCUUUAUAUCAACCACGUUAAGUACAAGGAAGAUGAGUGGCUAUAGAAAGAGGAGCCGGAGUACAGGUUGGGGUACCAGCACCAUGGCAACCAUGGAGCAGCUCAUUUCAGACCGUAGACAUCAAUUGUGCAUUCCGAAAGCUAGCCCCACAUGGCAUAAUAAUAAGCCUGAUCUUAUGGUGCAGAUUUCGUCUUGUAGAGAUCUGCACAGAUAAUGUUUCAAGAUCAUUUUCAACUUUAUCAAUUCAUUAUGUGAUCAUGACAUUGGUUUGUUACAACCAUAGACAUUGCUUCAGCUUUGCAUUUUUUUGAUUUGAUGGUUCAAAUGUCGGUGCAGGUCGCGGCCAGGAGCUCCUCCUCUUCAAUUGCAGCAAGGUGUCUUGGCUGCCAAUCCUGGUUCUUAUCUGUUGCAAUGCAGCUUUCUGUUACUCGUGGGGAAUGAUUUGGUGCUGGCCAAUACCAAUUGUGAAUGUGAAUUGUGGCAUGUCCUAUGUAUAUAUAUAUAAUGGAUUGUUAUAGUGUGAACUUUAUGUGGGGCAAAAGAAAGGUUAAAUAAUUUGUUUAUUCUAUAUGGUAGACUGGAAAAUUUCUUAUACAGGCAAGAAUCACCAUUUGGAUUAGUUAUUCUUAUAACUAGCAACCAUUUUUGUCUGUACUUUGUGUUGUGGGCAAUGGAGACUUGUUAUCCUGUGUACUCGAUCACCCCUACUUUAGUUCUGCCCUUACUGGUCCUAUUGUAUGAUCUAUGAGGCCCAAUUCCAUAGCUAAUCACUAAGUAGUUGCUAUUAUUAUUUUCUAUCAAAUUGAUCUAUGGAAUUUGAUUAUAGGUGGCACUGAUGGUUGCUGCUGGGUUUGGCACUAACGAGCUUGCUGCACCUGGUUUGGCACAUUGCCUUGUCGCCCUCGCGAGUCCACAUGGCACCACGGUAUCCCCUCAUCCCAUAAGGUUGCUGCAGCCUGGAUGUUCCUGAGGGUCAUAGCAAGUGUACUCAUAUGGGAGUUGUUGCAUCGAUGUCCAUUAGUUGGUAGCAUGAGAUCUCAUGCAGAUCACUUCCAACCCAGUAAUUUCUCUUUCCACGGGCUAAUCUUUGUUUGGUUAUGGAGCUCAACAUAUUUGUUGCAAGAAAGGUAAACAUAUAGCACAAAUCUAAUAUACUCCCUCAUGCUUUGUUGCAUGCAUUCAAUACUUUUUGUUGUUGUUGUUGUUGUUGUGUGUGGGGGGGGUAGAGUGAUUGUUUCCUCUGCUCUCUGUUCUGUUAUUCACUAUUACUCGUGCAAUAUGAGGACACUACGAGCUACUGGGAUUGUGGUAAGGUUCAUAUCGGUGGCUUUGUCAUGAUGUCAUGUUGUGAAAGAUCGGUGUCCAUCAGUCAGGCCACUAAGGGAGAUGGUCAGAAGCAUUUUAUUUUAAUUGCUUACGAUAUAGUUUGUCACUUGUCUCAAAUAAGUUAUGAUGCACUUGGCCUGAACUUAUAUUGUGCUACCAUUAAGUUUUUAUGCCGAGCAACCCAAACUACAAAACCAUCAAGGUUUGUGUUGAAAUUGGUGAUAGUAUUUGUGGUUUGAAAAAUAUUCAUUGUUGACAAUAAAUAAAUUCAUCAUAAAGAUUUGUGCAGUUGGCACAUGAAUAUUGUAUGUGAAUGCAGACACAUAAGUCUGACAAGAUGCCCAAUAAGUUUCUUCAAUUCUGUUGAGAGACUCUCAUUUUUAAAACAGUUCAAAGAUAUAAAAAUAUUUGUGCAGACACAUAAGUAACCAUUUUGAAUAAUGACUAUUUUUUGCUAGUCUAAACAUGUGGCUUUUAAUUUAUUAAUUUUCAUUUUCUUGCAAACCAAACUUUGCUCUAUCCUAGGCAGGUUGCUCGUGAAGAUACCCAUUCUGUAAUAACUGGAUGGGGACGGCAGCCUGUUGCUUUAUGGACUUUGAGCUAAAAGCUCACCAGAGAUUUAAAGAAGUCCUCAAUGGGCUUGCUGAUGCUAGAUGGUCUGUGAUUGAAAGUGAUGGAGUGGAUGAUGUUUGUAUCUCUGUUACCCCAUCCCUGAGUAAAGUGAUCAAUUGCAUGCAACUUUCAAUAAUGGAUUACCUUUAGUCAGUAGAAGUGUAUGCAAAGGCAUUGAUGCUGCUGCAAGUUUGUUUCACUUUACAUUUAGAAUUUGUUUUUUAUUUUUACACUAUCAGAAUGUUAGUUUCUUUGUUUUUACAUGAAUUCUUCUACUACUUGUUAUGAUGUUUCUCCGCUAGCACUCCUGUGCUUUAUGUGGGAACAACAGUCACAGUGGACCAGUAGUAAUUUAGAUGCAUUCUUUGCUUCUACAAUGAAACCAAAUUUCUUCAAUUUGCCUAUGUCUCGCCUUGGAGGAUUUAGUGGUCAGGUUAUGUUGCCCUGUAUUUUGCACAAGGUGAAACAGUGCUCAGUUUGCUUAAUUUUUAAUAUGUUCAAUUAACAAGCUACUGACAGUAUUAGUAAUCGAAAAAUCUAUUGCUUCGACAUAUGGAGUGGUGUAUCAGCUCAGUUUUAACCGUUUCCAUUGGAAUGUGAGAACAUUUGCAUUGCAGUCAAUUGUGAUGAUUAUUGGGGAUUGGGAAAUAACAUAGGUUUCUCUGAUAUGUUCAAAGUCUGAUGCUUCCUUCUAGAAAAUAGUUGAAUAAGUUAAAUUACUAGUACUGCAGUUGCAACAUAACUUGGACAUUUAAAGCUGGACUACAGCUAAUUUGGCAACAUAGAUCACACAUGUUCUCCUAAUUCAAUUUAACUUCGCUUACAGACCAAACUUGAACUGCAUGGAUAAAUUAUUAACUAUUCUUAUUCGUCAAAAUGACCACAAAGCAUGCAUGUUUGCUUUCCUUUUACUACCUUGAAAUUCUUUAAACCAAAUAUACUCUGAUUCAGAUUCCUAUUGUGCAAAUUUGUUGCAAAGGCAUUGAUGCUGCUGCAGGUUUAUUUCACUUUACAUUUAGAAUUUGUUUUUUAUUUUUACACUAUCAGAACGUUAGUUUCUUUGUUUUUACAUGAAUUCUUCUACUACUUGUUAUGAUGUUUCUCCGCUAGCACUCCUGCGCUUUAUGUGGGAACAACAGUCACAGUGGACUAGUAGUAAUUUAGAUGCAUUCUUUGCUUCUACAAUGAAACCAAAUUUCUUCAAUUUGCCUAUGUCUCGCCUUGAAGGAUUUAGUGGUCAGGUUAUGUUGCCCUGGAUUUUUGCACAAGGUGAAACAGUGCUCAGUUUGCUUAAUUUUUAAUAUGUUCAAUUAACAAGCUACUGACAGUAUUAGUAUCAACUUUUCAUUAUUUUUAUGGGAAAUCAGCUUGUUGCUAGAUUGCACAUAAUUUAUUAAGUUUUGAUGUUCACAUGCUUCAUUUUUCGUAGUUUGGAAAUUAACUUGAUUAUAAAACGUGCAAUUAAACCUUUUUAUGUGUCAACACACAAUAUUUAUGAUUAUGCAACAUUAGUUGUAAAUAAAAAGAGAUUCUUAUAGUUCAUAUGACACUAUCUUCAUGAAGUUAUAGAUUUCGGUGGAGGCUUAUGUGUUCUCAAGCAUCAUUAUUUGUUAUCAUGAAAUUAACUUUAACUUAUGCUGCAAGUGAAGACAAUUGUGAUAGAGAUUCAGGCUUCCUCGAUGGACAGCUCAUAACAAGAAAAAUAUGAUUUUGCUAUUACAUAUUAGUAUUCUUGGCAAAUAAAAUAUAUGCUAAUAGAUGUCCUUAUUUUCAGUUUAUCUUUUAAAUAAACAUCUUAUCCUUUAUUGGCAACAUGCAUUCAAAUGUUUUGACUUUAUUGUUGCUUUCCUUUAGGCAAAGCAUCAACACAUGGAGUUCAUCUCGCAAUAUCUGACAAGUAACAUUUGGGUGGGGAGCCUCAUCCUCUUGAUGGAAUCAGCUCCCAAGAAAACCGAUGGAAAUUGGAAUGAAAGCAUUGAAAAGACAUUGGCUAAGAAAGCAAUUAGAUUUGGUUAACCAUUCAAGGCUGGAAAACUUGUGUAUACUUUAUAGUAGAUUAUUGUCCCAUUUGGUUGGCCGACAACAUGCUUCUUUUUUUCUGCGAGAAAGUACAAAUAUUUCUUGUACAUAUGUUGUCUUCAUAUAGGUUUACCAUGUCCUGCUUGCACUUAAUUUAUAUUUUUGAUAAUUCUUUAUAUUUUUAUUUA